rnacentral:rRNA from 1 species
GAUUAGUGGCGCACGGGUGAGUAAUAUAUAGGUAACGUGCCUCUUAGUCUGGGAUAGCCAUUGGAAACGAUGAUUAAUACUAGAUACUCCUUCUAACUCUAAUGUUAGUCGGGAAAGUUUUUCGCUAAGAGAUCGGCCUAUUUCCCAUCAGGUAGUUGGUAGUGUAAGAGACUACCAAGCCUAUGACGGGUAGCGGGUUUGAGAGGAUGAUCCGCCACACUGGUACUGAGACACGGACCAGACUCCUACGGGAGGCAGCAGUGAGGAAUAUUGCACAAUGGAGGAAACUCUGAUGCAGCAACGCCGCGUGGAGGAUGACGCAUUUCGGUGUGUAAACUCCUUUUAUGAGUCAAGAAAAUGACGGUAGCUCAUGAAUAAGCACCGGCUAACUCCGUGCCAGCAGCCGCGGUAAUACGGAGGGUGCAAGCGUUAUUCGGAAUCACUGGGCGUAAAGGACGCGUAGGCGGGAUGCCAAGUCUGAUGUGAAAUCCUAUGGCUUAACCAUAGAACUGCAUUGGAAACUGGUAACCUAGAGUAUGGGAGGGGGAGAUGGAAUUAGUGGUGUAGGGG